rnacentral:sRNA from 1 species
AUAGCAGGUGUCUCCUUUGGGCACGGGAAUAAUUGGCAAGGGCAAAGAAGGUAACAUAAUGAUAUCAGGGUAACCUUGAAGGAGAUUUGUGAAAAAUUUCGGGUCUCUAAGCUCAUCAAGCCACUUUUUUGUUUGCCGAAUGCCUCGGAUGGUGAGAUUUGCCAUGGAUUCAUCGUGCAGUAAUUACUUUAUAGUUAUCCAGUUAGCUCUACACCUAAAAUGACCUGAGGCAACAUGUUCGGGAGAGCAAUAUGUGGUCAAUGUCGGUAGCUAACCAGGCAAAACCGGAUCGGCUGGGUUGGCUUCGGAAUUUGGGGGCACUCGUAUUUCCCUCCUGCUGGAUCAGAUCUGUAUAAGAACUCUGAUAAGAGUUUUCGCUGGCUCGGUACUGACAGAGGGCUGAGGCAGUUCCAUGCACGCCACCCACAACAACCAACCACCGAAUUUCGGAAUUCGGGGAUACGGCGCCCGAUUGAUCAAGAUCCGCGGAGGACAGAUCGAGGUAAAUCAAAAUAGGCGUUCGUGGGAGCUGACGGACUUGGUUCCAUCUUAGGGUUUCAAAAAUCGAGCUGGAAAACGGCCUGAACGCCAUUGGUACUAGUACUGUACAUAACUAGGAGUUGAUUCCAGACUAGGAGGCAGAUUGUGUGUGAAUUUUUCUAUUUUCUCGGUUUGGUGAGAUUCCUGGCUGUUACGCUAAGUGAUUAGGC